CCUACGGGAGGCUGCAGUGGGGAAUAUCGCACAAUGGGCGCAAGCCUGAUGCAGCCAUGCCGCGUGUGUGAAGAAGGCCUUCGGGUUGUAAAGCACUUUCAGCGGGGAGGAAGGCGGUGAGGUUAAUAACCUCAUCGAUUGACGUUACCCGCAGAAGAAGCACCGGCUAACUCCGUGCCAGCAGCCGCGGUAAUACGGAGGGUGCAAGCGUUAAUCGGAAUUACUGGGCGUAAAGCGCACGCAGGCGGUCUGUCAAGUCGGAUGUGAAAUCCCCGGGCUCAACCUGGGAACUGCAUUCGAAACUGGCAGGCUAGAGUCUUGUAGAGGGGGUAGAAUUCCAGGUGUAGCGGUGAAAUGCGUAGAGAUCUGGAGGAAUACCGGUGGCGAAGGCGGCCCCCUGGACAAAGACUGACGCUCAGGUGCGAAAGCGUGGGGAGCAAACAGGAUUAGAUACCCUAGUAGUC
rnacentral:rRNA from 1 species